rnacentral:rRNA from 1 species
UGAGUGCGAGCUGCUACGGCAGCGAAGUUGGUAUGUCAUGCUACCAAGAAAAGCCCUAUACCCGUUAAGGCAUCAUGGCCUGUACCCGAAACCGACACAGGUGGGGUGGUAGAGAAUACCGAGGGGCGCGAGGUAACUCUCUCUAAGGAACUCGGCAAAAUGGCCCCGUAACUUCGGGAGAAGGGGUGCCACCGCAAGGUGGUCGCAGUGAAGAGGCCCAGGCGACUGUUUACCAAAAACACAGGUCUCCGCUAAGUCGCAAGACGAUGUAUGGGGGCUGACGCCUGCCCAGUGCCGGAAGGUUAAGGAAGCUGGUCAGCGCAAGCGAAGCUAGCGACUGAAGCCCCGGUGAACGGCGGCCGUAACAAUAACGGUCCUAAGGUAGCGAAAUUCCUUGUCGGGUAAGUUCCGACCCGCACGAAAGGCGUAACGAUCUGGGCGCUGUCUCGGAGAGAGGCUCGGCGAAAUAGAAUUGUCUGUGAAGAUGCGGACUACGUGCACCCGGACAGAAAGACCCUAUGAAGCUUUACUGUAGCUUGGUAUUGUGCCCGGGCUCGCAAUGCGCAGGAUAGGUGGGAGGCUUUGAUCAUCGGCUUGCGGGUCGAUGUGAGCCAACGGUGAGAUACCACUCUUUGCGAGCUAGGGUUCUAACGGCCACCCGUCAUCCGGGGGCCGGACAGUACCUGGUGGGCAGUUUGAUUGGGGCGGUCGCCUCCUAAAAGGUAACGGAGGCGCGCAAAGGUUUGCUCAGGCUGGUUGGAAAUCAGCCGACGAGUGUAAAAGCAGAAGCAAGCUUGACUGUGAGACCAACAAGUCGAACAGGGAGGAAACUCGGCUUUAGUGAUCCGACGGUUCUGAGUGGAAGGGCCGUCGCUCAACGGAUAAAAGUUACUCUAGGAUAACAGGCUGAUCUCCCCCAAGAGUUCACAUCGACGGGGAGGUUUGGCACCUCGAUGUCGGCUCAUCGCAACCUGGGGCUGAAGUCGGUCCCAAGGGUUGGGCUGUUCGCCCAUUAAAGCGGUACGCGAGCUGGGUUCAGAACGUCGUGAGACAGUUCGGUCCAUAUCCGGUGCACGCGCAGGAAUAUUGAGAGGAUUUCUCCCUAGUACGAGAGGACCGGGAUGAACGCACCUCUGGUGUACCAGUUAUCGUGCCAACGGUAAACGCUGGGUAGCCAUGUGCGGAGUGGGUAACCGCUGAAAGCAUCUAAGUGGGAAGCCCACCUCAAGAUGAGUAUUCCCAUGGCGUAAGCCAGUAAGGUCACGGGAAGAACACCCGUUGAU